AGUGAACGCUGGCGGUAGGCCUAACACAUGCAAGUCGAACGGCAGCACAGUAAGAGCUUGCUCUUACGGGUGGCGAGUGGCGGACGGGUGAGGAAUACAUCGGAAUCUACUUUUUCGUGGGGGAUAACGUAGGGAAACGUACGCUAAUACCGCAUACGACCUACGGGUGAAAGCAGGGGAUCUUCGGGCCUUGCGCGAUUGAAUGAGCCGAUGUCGGAUUAGCUAGUUGGCGGGGUAAAGGCCCACCAAGGCGACGAUCCGUAGCUGGUCUGAGAGGAUGAUCAGCCACACUGGAACUGAGACACGGCCCAGACUCCUACGGGAGGCAGCAGUGGGGAAUAUUGGACAAUGGGCGAAAGCCUGAUCCAGCCAUACCGCGUGGGUGAAGAAGGCCUUCGGGUUGUAAAGCCCUUUUGUUGGGAAAGAAAAGCAGCAGGUUAAUACCCCGCUGUUCUGACGGUACCCAAAGAAUAAGCACCGGCUAACUUCGUG
rnacentral:rRNA from 1 species